CUGGAAAGGCGCGCGAUACAGGGUGACAGCCCCGUACACAAAAAUGCACAUACUGUGAGCUCGAUGAGUAGGGCGGGACACGUGGUAUCCUGUCUGAAUAUGGGGGGACCAUCCUCCAAGGCUAAAUACUCCUGACUGACCGAUAGUGAACCAGUACCGUGAGGGAAAGGCGAAAAGAACCCCGGCGAGGGGAGUGAAAAAGAACCUGAAACCGUGUACGUACAAGCAGUGGGAGCACAGAGCAAUCUGUGUGACUGCGUACCUUUUGUAUAAUGGGUCAGCGACUUAUAUUCUGUAGCAAGGUUAACCGAAUAGGGGAGCCGAAGGGAAACCGAGUCUUAACUGGGCGUUAAGUUGCAGGGUAUAGACCCGAAACCCGGUGAUCUAGCCAUGGGCAGGUUGAAGGUUGGGUAACACUAACUGGAGGACCGAACCGACUAAUGUUGAAAAAUUAGCGGAUGACUUGUGGCUGGGGGUGAAAGGCCAAUCAAACCGGGAGAUAGCUGGUUCUCCC
rnacentral:rRNA from 1 species